AACUGUUUGGUGUUAAUAAUUUGUCAAGAGUAUUUGGCAUGAACAUGAUGUGUGAAGGAGUGGGUUCAUUCGUCGGACCACCUUUACAAAGUUACCUAGCAACGAUAUUUGGGAAGGAAAUCCCAUUUUACACCGCUGGGACAGCAUUUACCGUGACAACAAUUUUUAUUUUUGUAUCGAUAAUGCAAACGCGGAAGACAUCUUGUACUUUAGGAGGGCUACCUACAAAGACUGUGGCUGCUGGUGUCGAUAACGUGGGUUUCAGUCCAGACAAAUCUACCUACUGAACUGACGAUACCUUCAGUGUAUAUUGGUGUGUGGUGAAUGGCUGUGACGUUGUAUGUAGCGACUUUGAAUGAAUUUCACAAUAAUGUUGAAUUUGUAAUGGGUUAAGCUACAACAAUUAAACACAUCCAUGAUGUUCCCUCGAUAUAAAAUACAACAGAUAA